rnacentral:lncRNA from 10 species
GAAACCAUCAUUCGCUACUGUUGUCCUGUGGUGCUUCAGAAGAAACUAAUGCCACCCAUGCUGCAUCUGCAAAGUCAUUUGUACUGAGAACUUCAGUGAUCAAAUAGGGUGAAGUCUUCCCCCCACUGCUAUUGCAGUUGAAGCCCAGACACCUCUGCCACCACCCACACAUGGAUUGCAGACCAGGACCAGAGACCAUGCUGGGAAGCCUGGCUGCUCUUUGAGGACUGAGAUGAACUUAGCAAUGCAGAGAAGAACAAAGAGAGGCUUGUGCUCACCGUGUUCCAGAGGGAUCACCGUGUUCCCUUUGUUCAUUUGAGGACAUGAAUACAACUAUGGUCUUUGGACAAAAGGCAUAUGCCAGGCAGUAUGAAUGGUCUCUCUUGUCUGUGCAAUUAGUAUGUAAGAGCACGUGAACUGGUGCCUGGGACCUCUACCUGUUUUAGUAUGAUAGCACCACAGUAAAGGGCCUGGACUUUGUAUGAGCUUGGGAAAAUCAUGUCACCUCUGCAAGUCUUGGUUUCCCUGGGUGUUAAAUGUCAAUUUAAGUAAAAUGCUAUCUACUUUGUUUUGGAGACUUUCUAUGAGAAUCUGAUAAACUAUAACCUGUGAAAGAGUUUCAAAAGUUGUAAAAGAUUGAAGGGAAACUGAGAUUCAGUGAGACAAGGACAUUUGUUCAAAUAAAUCUCGUAACUCUGAAGAGGCCUGGAUCUGAGAAGAAUGGGUGCCAGGUAGUCUGACUGGGCUAGUUUUGCCCCAUCAUGGCCCUGUGACAUCCGUUCUGCCUCCCAGCUAGACUGGACUCCCCCAGACCAGGAACUGUGUCCUGGCUCUUCCUAGCACCCAGCUCAGGGAGGGCUAUCAAGGCUGCUGAAAGCAGCUCAGUGAAUGUCAGUCUCUGAGCAGAUGGGAAGAACUGAGGAUGAAUUUGUCCACUUAAAUGGGAAUGGAAGCUUAAGAAUCAAGAUAUUUGAAGAUAAGGGAAACUGAGGUACAGAGGAGGGGAAGAGCCAUGAUUGACUUCAUGCAACUCAUCAGGGAGGGCACCCAGAUUUACACGUGGAUCUGUGUCACUACAAAGCAGUGCCCUUGACUUAACACUCCAUCACUUUCCAUACAAGCUUCAAACUGAACUCCACCUUCAUUAGCUUGGUGAGCGCAGACCGCUGAACUCUUCUAACAUCUGUCUUAGAGGUUAUGUGUUGGCUGCUGCGUUCAGAGCUAUCCUAAAAGUAACUGAAACAAGGGAUUUUUGACUCCAUGGCUAAACAGUUUCUGGGGAGCAGACCUUGAUUCUACCAUUACUUAGAAAACAAAUCAAAUUAGAGUCAGACUAGUGAUGUUGUCAGAACUUUUCAAACAUAAAGACCCAUGAAUGGACAUGUACACUUGGGAUCAAAAGCACUCUCCUCUUCCAAACAGCAGUCUACACUUGGCCUUUUGAGAGGCUGAGCUAUUGCCAAGGACUAUUUAGAUGGAAGAUUUGAUUGUUGGUCAAGGAGACACUGAAGAAGAGAUAAGAUGGUGUACUGGAAUGGAAGGAAGGCUCUGGACAUCAGAACUUUGGGCCACUGUACUGCUGUGUAAAUUUGCGAAACCUACUUAAUCCUUAUGGACUGUUUCCUCAUCUGGAAAAUGAGUUAAAUGAGAUCCAUUUUAUAAAAUUGUUGUAAUGAUUAUAUAAGUAAACACAUAGUAAUAUUAUUUGAUUUUAUUAUUAUUAUUAUGACUUGUCACUCAAAGCAUUUAGCUUUGGUGUCUCUAAUAUUCAGUACUCACAUUUAUGUUCAAAUUUGGAUGCUAGGUAGAAAUGAAGACUUUGUAUCUGCCACCAGAGAAGGCUAUUUAUUAUUUGUCAUUGCCUGUCACGAACUCACAAAGAUAGUAUUUGCCUAUCCAAAGGUAUCUAAUUCCUCAGUUUCUUAUGUGACUAUAAAGGGGCCUACUUUGAUCUUACCAUGAACUCAAAUCCUUUCGAAAUUUCAAUUUGUC